GAUUAAGUUAUUAAGGGCGCACGGUGGAUGCCUUGGCACUAGAAGCCGAUGAAGGACGUUACUAACGACGAUAUGCUUUGGGGAGCUGUAAGUAAGCUUUGAUCCAGAGAUUUCCGAAUGGGGAAACCCAGCAUCAGCUAUGUCAUGUUAUCGGUAUGUGAAUACAUAGCAUAUCAGAAGGCACACCCGGAGAACUGAAACAUCUUAGUACCCGGAGGAAGAGAAAGAAAAUUCGAUUCCCUUAGUAGCGGCGAGCGAAACGGGAAGAGCCCAAACCAACAAGCUUGCUUGUUGGGGUUGUAGGACACUCUAUACGGAGUUACAAAGGACGACAUUAGACGAAUCAUCUGGAAAGAUGAAUCAAAGAAGGUAAUAAUCCUGUAGUCGAAAAUGUUGUCUCUCUUGAGUGGAUCCUGAGUACGACGGAGCACGUGAAAUUCCGUCGGAAUCUGGGAGGACCAUCUCCUAAGGCUAAAUACUCUCUAGUGACCGAUAGUGAACCAGUACCGUGAGGGAAAGGUGAAAAGCACCCCGGAAGGGGAGUGAAAUAGAACCUGAAACCGUGUGCUUACAAGUAGUCAGAGCCCGUUAAUGGGUGAUGGCGUGCCUUUUGGAGAAUGAACCGGCGAGUUACGAUUUGAUGCAAGGUUAAGCAGUAAAUGUGGAGCCGUAGCGAAAGCGAGUCUGAAUAGGGCGUUUAGUAUUUGGUCGUAGACCCGAAACCAGGUGAUCUACCCUUGGUCAGGUUGAAGUUCAGGUAACACUGAAUGGAGGACCGAACCGACUUACGUUGAAAAGUGAGCGGAUGAACUGAGGGUAGCGGAGAAAUUCCAAUCGAACCUGGAGAUAGCUGGUUCUCUCCGAAAUAGCUUUAGGGCUAGCCUCAAGUGAUGAUUAUUGGAGGUAGAGCACUGUUUGGACGAGGGGCCCCUCUCGGGUUACCGAAUUCAGACAAACUCCGAAUGCCAAUUAAUUUAACUUGGGAGUCAGAACAUGGGUGAUAAGGUCCGUGUUCGAAAGGGAAACAGCCCAGACCACCAGCUAAGGUCCCAAAAUAUAUGUUAAGUGGAAAAGGAUGUGGCGUUGCCCAGACAACUAGGAUGUUGGCUUAGAAGCAGCCAUCAUUUAAAGAGUGCGUAAUAGCUCACUAGUCGAGUGACACUGCGCCGAAAAUGUACCGGGGCUAAACAUAUUACCGAAGCUGUGGAUUGUCCUUUGGACAAUGGUAGGAGAGCGUUCUAAGGGCGUUGAAGCAUGAUCGUAAGGACAUGUGGAGCGCUUAGAAGUGAGAAUGCCGGUGUGAGUAGCGAAAGACGGGUGAGAAUCCCGUCCACCGAUUGACUAAGGUUUCCAGAGGAAGGCUCGUCCGCUCUGGGUUAGUCGGGUCCUAAGCUGAGGCCGACAGGCGUAGGCGAUGGAUAACAGGUUGAUAUUCCUGUACCACCUAUAAUCGUUUUAAUCGAUGGGGGGACGCAGUAGGAUAGGCGAAGCGUGCGAUUGGAUUGCACGUCUAAGCAGUAAGGCUGAGUAUUAGGCAAAUCCGGUACUCGUUAAGGCUGAGCUGUGAUGGGGAGAAGACAUUGUGUCUUCGAGUCGUUGAUUUCACACUGCCGAGAAAAGCCUCUAGAUAGAAAAUAGGUGCCCGUACCGCAAACCGACACAGGUAGUCAAGAUGAGAAUUCUAAGGUGAGCGAGCGAACUCUCGUUAAGGAACUCUGCAAAAUGACCCCGUAACUUCGGGAGAAGGGGUGCUCUUUAGGGUUAACGCCCAGAAGAGCCGCAGUGAAUAGGCCCAAGCGACUGUUUAUCAAAAACACAGGUCUCUGCUAAACCGUAAGGUGAUGUAUAGGGGCUGACGCCUGCCCGGUGCUGGAAGGUUAAGAGGAGUGGUUAGCUUCUGCGAAGCUACGAAUCGAAGCCCCAGUAAACGGCGGCCGUAACUAUAACGGUCCUAAGGUAGCGAAAUUCCUUGUCGGGUAAGUUCCGACCC
rnacentral:rRNA from 1 species